rnacentral:ribozyme from 1 species
UGCCCAGCAACUCCUAUCCCUACCUCCUCGUGGUACCGGCCGGAAACUAUGAGCAAGAUCGGGAUGAGGAAGAUCGGGUAACCAACCCCGGUGGGAGCUUUGGUCAUUGGCUGAUAGGGAAGG